AGAGAGAGAGAGAGAGAGACAGAGAGAGACAGACAGAGAGAGAGAGCCUCUCCUCCUCCUGUCCUUGGCUCCAGGAUGAAAAGCUGAAUGAGACAGAAGGCGUGUAAUGGUUGUUGGAUAAGAGAAACAGCACUGUUCAUUUCAUUAAAAAAAGUCCCUGUGUUCCAAAUGACACACUCUUCCCUAUAUAAAGUGCACUACUUUUGACCAGAGCCCAUAGAGCCCUGGUAAACAGUAGUGUACUAUAUAGGAAAAAAGUUUGAAAUUAGGAAUGCACAACAAGCAUUUCACUACACUCAAAUUAAAAUCUGCUAACCAUGUGUAUGUGACAAAUACGAUUUGAUUAGAUUUUUUUAGAUGAGUAAUUAUGAAAACUGUCAAAGCAGUGUGACUGUAAAUGAAAGGUGCACGUUCCCUCAGAUGAAAGGUGCACGUUCCCUCAGAUGAGAGGUGCACGUUCCCUCAGAAGAAAGGUGCACGUUCCCUCAGAUGAGAGGUGCACGUUCCCUCAGAUGAAAGGUGCACGUUCCCUCAGAUGAAAGGUGCACGUUCCCUCAGAUGAGAGGUGCACGUUCCCUCAGAUGAGAGGUGCACGUUCCCUCAGAUGAGAGGUGCACGUUCCCUCAGAUGAGAGGUGCACGUUCCCUCAGAUGAAAGGUGCACGUUCCCUCAGAUGAGAGGUGCACGUUCCCUCAGAUGAGAGGUGCACGUUCCCUCAGAUGAAAGGUGCACGUUCCCUCAGAUGAAAGGUGCACGUUCCCUCAGAUGAAAGGUGCACGUUCCCUCAGAUGAGCGGAGGAGAACGUGAAUCUUACAGGACCUUACAGAAAGGUUGUCUAGUGCUACGGGGUCAUUAUUCAGGAUGUAACCUUUUGUCAUGUUUUCUUAAUAAAGUGGAGGCCAAUUCAACUGAGACACAUUAUGUUUCUAUCUAUAUAACUUCAUAAGCACCGUGUCCUCUACCUGACAGACUAUAUAGCGCAACUAGGACUCCAGUAUAGCACAAUACUGGGAAAAGCACUAAAGGACCUGGAUUCAAUGAAUGCUGCAUAUCUGGUUCUAGAAGCAUGAUAUCUGGUUCUAGAAGCAUGAAAUUUGGUUCUAGAAGCAUGAUUUCUGGUUCUAGAUGGUUCUAGAAGUAGUUAACAUACACAUUUGAUCUCUCAUUCUCUCUCUUUCUCUUCCCCCACGUUUGAAAAAUGAAAACUAUAAUGAAACUAUUAUCUUUGAAUCCCAAAUAAAAUAAUAAACAUUAUGAAUUAUGUUGAUUUUCAGUUUUUUGUUUUCUAAACUUUGGACAAAAUUGAAAUGAGGUUUUCAAGCUUAUCUUUCUAAUGGGGUUUUCAAGCUGUUAUUUAUUUUGGCUUGUUUGCAUUAUCUACCUUCACUAAAGUAGAGAGGUACUAGGAGAACCCUAGAGAGUAGGAGAACCUUAGAGAGUAAACAGGACAGUAGAGAGGUACUAGGAGAACCCUAUAGAGUAAACAGGACAGUAGAGAGGUACUAGGAGAACCCUAGAGAGUAAACAGGACAGUAGAGAGGUACUAGGAGAACCCUAGAAAGUAGGAUAACCUUAGAGAGUAAACAGGACAGUAGAGAGGUACUAGGAGAACCUUAGAGAGUAAACAGGACAGUAGAGAGGUACUAGGAGAACCUUAGAGAGUAGGAGAACCUUAGAGAGUAAACAGGACAGUAGAGAGGUACUAGGAGAACCUUAGAGAGUAAACAGGACAGUAGAGAGGUACUAGGAGAACCUUAGAGCGUAAACAGGACAGUAGAGAUGUACUAGGAGAACCCUAGAAAGUAGGAGAACCCUAGAGAGUAAACAGGACAGUAGAGAGGUACUAGGAGAACCCUAGAAAGUAGGAGAACCCUAGAGAGUAAACAGGACAGUAGAGAGGUACUAGGAGAACCUUAGAGAGUAAACAGGACAGUAGAGAGGUACUAGGAGAACCUUAGAGAGUAAACAGGACAGUAGAGAGGUACUAGGAGAACCCUAGAAAGUAGGAGAACCCUAGAGAGUAAACAGGACAGUAGAGAGGUACUAGGAGAACCUUAGAGAGUAAACAGGACAGUAGAGAGGUACUAGGAGAACCUUAGAGAGUAAACAGGACAGUAGAGAGGUACUAGGAGAACCCUAGAAAGUAGGAGAACCCUAGAGAGUAAACAGGACAGUAGAGAGGUACUAGGAGAACCCUAGAGAGUAAACAGGACAGUAGAGAGGUACUAGGAGAACCCUAGAAAGUAGGAGAACCUUAGAGAGUAAACAGGACAGUAGAGCGGUACUAGGAGAACCCUAGAAAGUAGGAUAACCUUAGAGAGUAAACAGGACAGUAGAGAGGUACUAGGAGAACCCUAGAGAGUAAACAGGACAGUAGAGAGGUACUAGGAGAACCUUAGAGAGUAAACAGGACAGUAGAGAGGUACUAGGAGAACCUUAGAGAGUAAACAGGACAGUAGAGAGGUACUAGGAGAACCUUAGAGAGUAGGAGAACCUUAGAGAGUAAACAGGACAGUAGAGAGGUACUAGGAGAACCUUAGAGAGUAAACAGGACAGUAGAGAGGUACUAGGAGAACCUUAGAGCGUAAACAGGACAGUAGAGAGGUACUAGGAGAACCCUAGAAAGUAGGAGAACCCUAGAGAGUAAACAGGACAGUAGAGAGGUACUAGGAGAACCCUAGAAAGUAGGAGAACCCUAGAGAGUAAACAGGACAGUAGAGAGGUACUAGGAGAACCUUAGAGAGUAAACAGGACAGUAGAGAGGUACUAGGAGAACCUUAGAGAGUAAACAGGACAGUAGAGAGGUACUAGGAGAACCCUAGAAAGUAGGAGAACCCUAGAGAGUAAACAGGACAGUAGAGAGGUACUAGGAGAACCCUAGAGAGUAAACAGGACAGUAGAGAGGUACUAGGAGAACCCUAGAAAGUAGGAGAACCUUAGAGAGUAAACAGGACAGUAGAGAGGUACUAGGAGAACCUUAGAGAGUAAACAGGACAGUAGAGAGGUACUAGGAGAACCUUAGAGCGUAAACAGGACAGUAGAGAGGUACUAGGAGAACCCUAGAAAGUAGGAGAACCCUAGAGAGUAAACAGGACAGUAGAGAGGUACUAGGAGAACCCUAGAAAGUAGGAGAACCCUAGAGAGUAAACAGGACAGUAGAGAGGUACUAGGAGAACCUUAGAGAGUAAACAGGACAGUAGAGAGGUACUAGGAGAACCUUAGAGAGUAAACAGGACAGUAGAGAGGUACUAGGAGAACCCUAGAAAGUAGGAGAACCCUAGAGAGUAAACAGGACAGUAGAGAGGUACUAGGAGAACCCUAGAGAGUAAACAGGACAGUAGAGAGGUACUAGGAGAACACUAGAAAGUAGGAGAACCUUAGAGAGUAAACAGGACAGUAGAGCGGUACUAGGAGAACCCUAGAAAGUAGGAGAACCUUAGAGAGUAAACAGGACAGUAGAGAGGUACUAGGAGAACCCUAGAGAGUAAACAGGACAGUAGAGAGGUAGUAGGAGAACCUUAGAGAGUAAACAGGACAGUAGAGCGGUACUAGGAGAACCCUAGAAAGUAGGAGAACCUUAGAGAGUAAACAGGACAGUAGAGAGGUACUAGGAGAACCUUAGAGAGUAAACAGGACAGUAGAGAGGUACUAGGAGAACCUUAGAGAGUAGGAGAACCUUAGAGAGUAAACAGGACAGUAGAGAGGUACUAGGAGAACCUUAGAGAGUAAACAGGACAGUAGAGAGGUACUAGGAGAACCUUAGAGCGUAAACAGGACAGUAGAGAGGUACUAGGAGAACCCUAGAAAGUAGGAGAACCCUAGAGAGUAAACAGGACAGUAGAGAGGUACUAGGAGAACCCUAGAAAGUAGGAGAACCCUAGAGAGUAAACAGGACAGUAGAGAGGUACUAGGAGAACCUUAGAGAGUAAACAGGACAGUAGAGAGGUACUAGGAGAACCUUAGAGAGUAGGAGAACCUUAGAGAGUAAACAGGACAGUAGAGAGGUACUAGGAGAACCUUAGAGAGUAAACAGGACAGUAGAGAGGUACUAGGAGAACCUUAGAGCGUAAACAGGACAGUAGAGAGGUACUAGGAGAACCCUAGAAAGUAGGAGAACCCUAGAGAGUAAACAGGACAGUAGAGAGGUACUAGGAGAACCCUAGAAAGUAGGAGAACCCUAGAGAGUAAACAGGACAGUAGAGAGGUACUAGGAGAACCUUAGAGAGUAAACAGGACAGUAGAGAGGUACUAGGAGAACCUUAGAGAGUAAACAGGACAGUAGAGAGGUACUAGGAGAACCCUAGAAAGUAGGAGAACCCUAGAGAGUAAACAGGACAGUAGAGAGGUACUAGGAGAACCUUAGAGAGUAAACAGGACAGUAGAGAGGUACUAGGAGAACCUUAGAGCGUAAACAGGACAGUAGAGAGGUACUAGGAGAACCCUAGAAAGUAGGAGAACCCUAGAGAGUAAACAGGACAGUAGAGAGGUACUAGGAGAACCCUAGAAAGUAGGAGAACCCUAGAGAGUAAACAGGACAGUAGAGAGGUACUAGGAGAACCUUAGAGAGUAAACAGGACAGUAGAGAGGUACUAGGAGAACCUUAGAGAGUAAACAGGACAGUAGAGAGGUACUAGGAGAACCCUAGAAAGUAGGAGAACCCUAGAGAGUAAACAGGACAGUAGAGAGGUACUAGGAGAACCCUAGAGAGUAAACAGGACAGUAGAGAGGUACUAGGAGAACCCUAGAAAGUAGGAGAACCUUAGAGAGUAAACAGGACAGUAGAGAGGUACUAGGAGAACCCUAGAGAGUAAACAGGACAGUAGAGAGGUACUAGGAGAACCCUAGAAAGUAGGAGAACCUUAGAGUGUAAACAGGACAGUAGAGCGGUACUAGGAGAACCCUAGAAAGUAGGAGAACCUUAGAGAGUAAACAGGACAGUAGAGAGGUACUAGGAGAACCUUAGAGAGUAGGAGAACCUUAGAGAGUAAACAGGACAGUAGAGAGGCACUAGGAGAACCCUAGAAAGUAGGAGAACCUUAGAGAGUAAACAGGACAGUAGAGAGGUACUAGGAGAACCCUAGAAAGUAGGAGAACCUUAGAGAGUAAACAGGACAGUAGAGAGGCACUAGGAGAACCUUAGAGAGUAAACAGGACAGUAGAGAGGUACUAGGAGAACCUUAGAGAGUAGGAGAACCCUAGAGAGUAAACAGGACAGUAGAGAGGCACUAGGAGAACCUUAGAGAGUAAACAGGACAGUAGAGAGGUACUAGGAGAACCUUAGAGAGUAAACAGGACAGUAGAGAGGUACUAGGAGAACCUUAGAGAGUAAACAGGACAGUAGAGAGGU